rnacentral:rRNA from 1 species
AUGGUGAUCAAGACCCAAAAUGGACAAGUUCUGAAAAAAGACAAUGAGGUCAUUGCUAGCCUACUCGAUACAACUGUAAGAACUGUUAAGAGAAUAUGGGAAAGAGCUCUUAAACAGGUUGAAAAAGGGGAGAAAGUUGAUGUCUCAAAUCAAAAGCCAGGUAGAGUUGGCCGCAAGCGGAAAGAUUUGGAUCUGUCGAGGGUGGUGACAAUCCCAUUGAACAGAAGGAGAACAUUGCAAGGUCUGUCAAAGGCAUUGGGUGUAAGCUGCACGACCUUACACUCAAGGUUC